AGUUGCCUUCUUGUCCGUCUUGUGACUCCGCCGCACACCAGCCGGUCUUUGCGGAGGGUGACAGUGGUGGAGACACGCGCACGCAGAGAGAAGGUGUGCGAAGCAGACCAGGUCGUAGGGACAACACACGGAAUUUGGUACACACACACACACACACGAACACGCACGUUAACGCCUCGUGAGCCGGAGUGAUCGAGGACAUGGUCAAGCUACAUCAAAAGCACGCGUCUGCUGUAGCGACAGACGCGCAGGCGGAGAGCGACGCCACCGCGAUGCACCAGGGCCCGGUGCCGCCGCCGCCUCCCGAAGAAUUGGUCCCUGAUGCAGGCCCCAGUGCUGCUGAGGUCCCGCUGGGCGAUCCGGUCGAGUUCAUACUUGACCGAGUCGACUCCAUCGAGCGAUGGCGAUCGACAGUCGCGCGUCUGAACCUGGCGCAGCUGGGCGUUUCCCUGGUGCGCGGUGUACUGCGACGCGGUCGCUAUUCGACGCCGCCGAUGCGCGUUUUCGAUGCCGCAGAGAAAACAGCGCCGGCAACGGAUGCGGCAGAGGCUGAGGAGCCCGUCCAGUCGUUUUAUCCAUCGCAGCCGGUGCCACCGUGGCUGUGUCCCCACACGUCGUUCGAGAUCAGGCAGGUGGCUACGCAGGUGGCCGAGCAAGAUGAAGCUGCACAGACUCUCGUGAGGGGCGUUGCCUCUCCAGCGCCCGGGCAGGCAACACAUCGCCCGCCCAAUCACCACCGUCGCGCACAUCCCUCCAUGCAGCCCAGCGUUGCUCGGCGCGCGCUCGUGCAGACGGCCAGCCGCGCCUCUGUGCCGCUUUAUAUGGGUAUGCUGAUCGCAUUCAUUGGACACGGUGUUGCGUCCAUGUACAAUGCAGACACAGCGACAGGCCUGCUCGGUGCGAGUGACGCGGCGGCAGGGCGAUCCGUCCAGACACCGGCGCCCACGCCUGGUGCCGUCGCCGGGCGCUUGCCCACGUCUAGCCGUCAUCUGCACUUCACCACCGAGAUGACCAGCGCACUCCACGAGGUUCACCGUGCAGCGGCUGAGGUGAUUUGCAUGGUCGAUCACGAGUCGAAGGAGAUGCACGCGCUCGCAACAGCCGCACUCCAGUCGGCUGGAAAAGCGACAGCGUAUCGGACGGACGAGGAUGAGCAGGUGCAGGACAUGCGCCACGCGCAGCUCGGUCGAUCAUGUCGUCACCUUAGCCGCAUCGUGGCAAAUCUCUACUCUCUUGUGUCCCUCCUGGACUUCUUUGCAGUGGAGAGUGCGUCCUUGCCGACGCCGACGCCAAGCACCGCGGCAGCGAGUGGUGCAGGUCACUCGAACAUGAGCAGCGCCAACGUCGGCUUCCUAUCGACAUCCUCUGCUUCGGAGGCCGCGGCGUUAGCGAUGGAGAAGCGCGGUGCUCAGACAACCACUGUGGCGCCGUACACAGACAGCAGUACUCCAAAUGCCACACCGAUGCCCUCCGCCAUGAAGAAACAUGUCGCCAACGGGGCGGCCCCCGCGCACCCCUAUACGACGGAGCGCUUCCAUAAGCUCUUCGAUGCAUCUGGCCACUUGCCGCAGAGCGUGUGGAGGGUGUUCUCCGCCGUCGCCACCACAUUGAGCCAGUUCGCAGUGUCCUGGUCCCUCACAACGGGUGAUGCGCAGAGUCGGCAAGCAUUCAACAGUGCAGCGUGCGUGAUACUCGGCGAGGAUCAGCGCUGCCUGCUGCUGCAGCUGCAUCGGCUGUGUGCGCGCUUUAUCGUGCUGCGCCACCGAGUGUACGCGCUGCACCCCGUCAACUCUCUGCACUUCAAGGUGAAGCAGAUGCUGGAGUGGAGCGGUCUCCUCAACGCCGACGUGCCGGAUGCGUGGUCGUACAACAAUGGCGACAUUGACCGAUGCGACUUACACUCUGAUCGACUGCACAGCACCUACGCGCGCGGCCUUCGGUGGAGCGUCAACUCGAGCAACAAGAUGGCGCUUCAAGCGGCGGUUGCGUGUCCGUACACGACCGCGGCGCGCGACUCAGCGCUGCGUCGGAUGAAGGAGUCGAGCGCGUUUUCUCCAGGCGGCAGCGCCGUCGCUGGCGGGGGGGGCGUCAACACUGCGAGCGAUGGCGGUGCAUCGGCCCCGCUCUCUCUGCUCACCUCGCUCGCCUCUGCCGGGGCAAACGGCGGUGCCAACGCCGCCUUCGCCGGGCUUUUGGCAGCGCCGUUGUCAUCGGCAUCUGCGGCGCCGGAGCAGAGUUCCAGCGUGGCUGCACUAUCCCAGCGCUCCGUCGUGCCGGGCUACGUUGGGCUGCGGAACAAUGGUAACAUGUGCUUCCUCAACAGCGUUGUACAGCUUCUCGGCAGCGCUGCGCUGUUCCGCGACGAUCUCACGGCACGAUUGCAGGAUGCUGUCUUCUGCAACUCGGCACACGCCGAUCACCGGGCUCCUGCAGCCGCGCAUGCGGAGAAUGCCCAUGCGAUGGCGGCUCCCUUUGCCAAGUAUGGAUGUCGCCUCGCCAUGGCGCUUCUUCUCGGUGAGAUGCAGUGGCGUGGGUCGCAUCGACACAGUCGCCUCCCGGUGUUGCCGGACUACCUCAUCCCACAUCUGCCCCCGCCGUUCGAUGACCAUCGACAGCACGACGCCUCGGAGUUCUGGCACGCACUAAUGGACAAACUGGACGCGCCGAACCAGCCCGGGGGGGCGGUGGUGGCGCGAUGGUUUAGCGGGCGAACGGCGACGACGAUGACGUGCGUCACCUGCCAGCACACGCGUCUGCACACCGACACCUUCUGGGAUCUCUCGAUCCCACUCCUGCGCGCUACCUCGCCCCCCUCCGUACCAGCGUCCGUGGGAGGCGGCGCGCCGACGCCACCUUGGGCACCGGUGGCCGCGGCUGGCCGGCCGGUGAGCCAAGUAGAGGUGCAGCACUUUGCCCGCGCCACCGCCGUGACCACCACCUACGCGAGCUCGCCAGCAUCCGACUUUCCAGCCAACGCGUCGACCACGGCAGAUGCGUCUGCGGAGCUGGAAGCGGCGGAGCGCGCAGAAGAGGAGGCAGCAGAGAGGGUCAACAACAAAGCAGCGCUGAACCAGCGCCCCAUCGUGCCCAGCAGUGUAGCCGAGCCGUACUCAACCACACCGCUGCCGUCCUCGAUGGUGGCGGCCGACGAGGUACCCAAGACGCUGCAGCACCUGCUGCUCCAUGUGCUGCACCCGACUCUCAACAAGGAGCUCUUGCAUGGCAGCAACGCCCUCGACUGCGAGCACUGCGGCCGACGCACCGACACAGAGCUCACGACACGCCUUGUCGCCGAGGUCGAAAGGGAGGCUGAGGUAGGGGUCGAUACGGCAGCAGCAGGUGCGCCGGAAGAAUGCUUAGGCGCCGUGCAGGAAGCGCGCGUCUCUUCUGGCGGCAGCGCCGCUGCAGCCGCGUGGGAAAGUCUCGUUGAAGGCGAGCCGCCCACACCCUGCGCAGCGGAUGAACGAGCGUCGCCACAUGGGGAGUCGAAGUGCGUGGAGCACGACUUGGCGCUGUCGCACUCUCUCACCGACACGGCGGCCGGAGGUGGUCUGCCAUACUACCUCGCUGUUCAGCUGAACCGCUUCGCGUACCGGCGCGCCACACAGACCUACGAGAAGGUCACCGAUGGCGUGCCUCUCAAUGAGGUUAUCGUUGUCCCGGUGUGCCCCGAGAUCACAGAGCCAAAAGACGGAGCAGCAUCCCCGGCCGAUUCGCAGGAGUUCAACGCACAGACUGCGAUGCCCAACGAGGAGGAUGGCGACGCCAAUACGCAGCGUGAAGACGACGGCCGUCACGGUGGCCCCUCCACUCGAACUCCGACGGCACCGCGCUCUGCAGCGCCAGCGCUUCCGGUGUGGGUCGCGUACCUUCUGCGGUCAAUCAUCAUCCACAGCGGCUCCACGCCUAGCAGCGGCCACUACUUCGUCCUUACGCGCCGCCUCGCAGCGGUGCCGGCGUACACGAACGUCAAUGAAAGCAGCCACGACGAAGACGGCGAGUACAAUGCCAGCGCUGCUGCUGACGUGUCAUCCAUGCGCGCGUACGUGAAGGGUCUGGGGGCUGCCCUAACGGCUUGCCUGGGCGCCGAGCGUCACUUCUCCUACGCGGAACUUGUGCAGCCAACGGCGGGCGCGGAAGGCGAGGGCUGGUCGGCGUGUGCCGAUGUGGAGGGCGCAGGGCCAAAGUCGCAGGGCAGGCCCGCUGUCGCUUCCCUUUCGAGGGGCACAGCGGAGACGGUGCAGUCGCCGGCGCUUUCUCCACCACCAACUCUUCCAACGGCCGCUGUGUCCGUGAGUGGCGACCGCCUGUACGAGAACUGGGUGAUGCUGAACGACUCCAGCGUGCAGACCGUUGAGCCGGACACAAUGCGCCACCUCCUGCACGGGCGCGGCGGCGGUGUCUACUCUGCCUCGGAGACGCCGUACAUUAUCUUGUACGAGAAGUUGCCUUUGGCCUCCGAAGGGACGGCGGUGCGCGACGCUCUGCUAGAGGAUGAGGAGGCGACAGAUAAGCGCGUGGCUGGUGCUGCGCUGUGGGAGACCCACCAUGCUUCGGUAGGCGCUUCCGGCGUCACCUCCGCCGGUGACACGAGCAGCAAGCCGGUUCAGUUUGCCCGUGAAGUGCUACAGAUCUUUAACGCGCGGCUGAAGGAUGAGGUCGCGCACAACGCCGCUCUCAGCGAGGCGCCACGAACGGCAGAUGGGCAUGGCUUCACCUCCACAAAAAGCAGCGAAGCAAGCUCGCGGCCUACGCCGGUGGGAACGGUGGUACAUCAGGGGUCGUCUGCCACGGCUUGGAGAACCAUUGUCGCCCGGUCAUCGUGGUCUCGCGCGACCGGUGUUGGCGACGCAGCUCGUGCAGCAGCAGUCAAGGCCUCCCUCAUUGAUGCGAGCAAGGUCAUACCAACAUGCUUUAAGGGCACCGGCAGCGUUGGUCGUCCUUCGGCGUCGCACCGGCCGCGUCGGCUAAUGUCCACGGUCAAGUACGCCAAACUCCCCCGCAGCAAGCGCUACAACGGCAAUCUCAACCGUCACAGCACACAGGAGCACCGCCAUCGUGGCGGCACGGCCGCACGCAGCUCAAGUGGCAGCGGCGCAGGCUCAGACGCCGAUGACGAGCAGGACGAGCCUCGCAGCUAGCAGUGGAGAGUGCCCAUGCUGCCACGCACGCGCCGGUGAGCCGCACGUGCACGUGCGUGUGCGGUUGGGGGAGGGGAGGGGGGCGACCACCGGCGUACAAGGUUUACGUUUUUUUUUGUGCCUGUUCUCAGUGAUGCACAUCG
rnacentral:misc_RNA from 1 species